GUGACUUGUAUGCAAAUUAUUAAAUUUAAAAUGUAUGUUUGUGGGUUUAAUUAUUAUUCAAAUUUUUGCCAUGUUGUUUAUGUCAUAAUUACAACGUAAAUAAUAAUUAUAAUAAUAGUAAUAAUUAUAGUAAUGAACACGAGUUUGUAAAAUCACAUCACACCGAAAUUAUCCGGCGUGUCAAGGUGAUAAUUGCGCAGUAACUCAACUGCACCUACAUGUCGCUGGCAAAGUACUGCGAUCUAUAAUCGACCCGACUAGUAAUCUAUACUUAUCCCACAUUGUAAUAACCCUAAUAAGUAUUAAAUAAGUGAACCACAAUUCAAAUUAAAACAAUAACAAUAAUACCAAUAAAUCAAUUUUUUUAAAGAGAAAUUUGGAAACCUUCAGAGCAUUGGUCAUUUUCAAUCCUAUAAGAUGUCAGUUUUUUGACAUAUCUAAAAUGCACCAAUAUGUCGACAAAAUGAUUUGUCACUGAAAAAAAAAUCUGCUCAAAAAACUUGACACAAGUGGAGACAAAAAGAAAAAUAACACAAAUUUUCUAUCACUCUGAGGACCAACAUCUGUACAUCUUAUUUAUAUGAAAAAACUUGACUUUGAGACACAAGAAAAUUUGUCGUCUUUUAAAAAGACAUUUAUGACAUCUUAAACUUGUCUCUGUUGGAAUGGCACAUCCGUCAUUUCACAGACGUGUCAUUUAAGGAUUAACAUACUUCUUAUAACGUCAAUAAUCGGAGCUUUCACUUUACAUUUACAUUCAUAAAUAUGAUUCGAGUAAUAAGAUAAAAUAUAAAAUUAAGUGAUACUGAUGAGAUAAAUAGCCCCCGCACCUCUUUCUGCAUUUUAUUUUAUGUUUUUUUUACAAUUUUUAGACGAUUUGAUAGAGCUAACGAUGAUGCAUAAAAAUAAAGUAAGCAAUGAUGCAACUGUUGAAAUAAAUGGUAAUAAAAAUUAUAUAGUAAUUAAAAAAAAUAGAAAGAGGCUUGUUAGAGGGGCGCCUUACCCACAGUACCGGUAUAUCUCCCAGUAUAAGUGAGGGCUGGGAAAUAAAAAAUUUCAGUAAGUGUUUAAAUUUUAAUAAAUUAAUUUUAUAAAAAAAAUAAUCUAGCCAAAGAUACUAAUUAUUAAAUAAUUGUUAGUUUACACUCCUUAGUUAUUAAAUAAAUUGUAAUACUUACUUGUCUUCAGCCACCCUACGACAUUCUUCUUCAUACUUCUGGACAGCUGACGGCAUCAUUUGUUCAAUUAUCCCCUUCAACCUGAAACGACAUCGAACUUUACGAGCGUGGGUAAACUCUGACUCAAUCGCGGACAUUAACAGAUGAUCAAUAAAUUUUUUUUUUUUUAAUAAAUAAAAUGAAAUUUAUUUUCAUACCUUUC